UAUUUGUUUUCAAUAAUUUACGCGUCCGUGAUGUACUUGAAAGGAAAAAAAAAAGUUUUAAAUUUAUUUAGCUGAUGUACCCCCGCCCCAAAAGUCGAACCGCAAAACCGCCCGUCUACGUUGAUAAUUCGAGAUUAUUGCAUCGUAAUCAGAAACAAGACAGCAAAAACAAUUUAUCUUCCGUUAUAUUUUUAGUCGCUCGAGGGAGUCGACCUGCCAGAGGAAAUACCCAGAAUUGAACAUCAUUCAUCAAGUUAUGUCGCCGAAUUAACUUUUCUCAUUCAACAAUUAAUAAUCUCCGAACGUCAACGUUCAUUUUAGAACACCACGCCAAGUUUCGCUCGGACAUAAACGCAGAUCGAGAAGUUUUCAUUUUUUAACUUCGGCUUUUGAUUGAUUCUCAAGUUUCCCAAGAAUUAUAAAGUCAAUUGAAUAUUUUCAUUUCGUAUUCAGGAUAUGUUGAGAAAAUGUAAUGUAACUUUUAUAAUCUUAAAUUUAAAGUAAACAGAUGGGCAAACGGAAUUCGAACUGGAAAGUUUUACUUCCACUUCAUACACGGAGAGAUGCCUUUUAAUUUUAAAAUAUUCA